rnacentral:lncRNA from 1 species
GGAACAUAAAGUCAGUGCAAAUUAGGCACCUUCGUGGGUAUCUGGAAUUUUAAAUGAACUUGGAAAAUUCCUCUAGGCUUCAGGUCCCUAAUCCAAACUUCAAAAAGGGAAGAAAUUAAAAGAAAUAUAAAAUUCAAAAAUCACAUUUAUCCUCAUGAAAUUUCUCCACAAUAUUAAAUUUCCAAGAUAUGAGAAAAGCACCACAAAAUAUUACUGGCUUCACUGAAGAAAUGGUAUGAAGUUUGGCCUUUUCUUU